GGUGGAGUGGUGUAGUGGUUAGCACACCCGACCGGACCUUGGGAGGCCCAGAGUUCAGAUCCCUGCUCCGCCA
rfam:Ixodes scapularis strain Wikel colony gcontig_1108378998382, whole genome shotgun sequence.